GUCCUUCGGGACAUAUGGUCAAUUUGAAAAAAUACAGAGAAGAUUAGCAUGGCCCCUGCAUAAGGAUGACACGCUUUACAAAGAGAUUUAAACCGUUUUU
rnacentral:snRNA from 2 species